rfam:Canis lupus familiaris chromosome X, whole genome shotgun sequence.
UGGGGGAGGUCGGAUCCUGGGUUCUGUCCCAGUGCUCCCGGGCCUGUGCUUUUGGGUUCGUGCUCCCGGCCGUGCAGCCCCCU